rfam:Tetraodon nigroviridis, WGS project CAAE01000000 data, contig: CNS0BYTZ, chromosome: 7
UGCCACAAACCCGUAGAUCCGAACUUGUGGUGACUGGCCGCACAAGCUCGUAUCUAUAGGUAUGUGUCCG